rnacentral:rRNA from 1 species
GACGAACGCUGGCGGCGUGCCUAACACAUGCAAGUCGAACGCCCCGCAAGGGGAGUGGCGCACGGGUGAGUAACGCGUGGAUAUCUGCCUUUUGGUUCGGAAUAACCCCGGGAAACUGGGGCUAAUACCGGAUGGUUCCUACGGGAUAAAGAUUUAUCGCCAAAAGAUGAGUCCGCGUACGAUUAGCUAGUUGGUGAGGUAAUGGCUCACCAAGGCGACGAUCGUUAGCUGGUCUGAGAGGACGAUCAGCCACACUGGGACUGAGACACGGCCCAGACUCCUACGGGAGGCAGCAGUGGGGAAUAUUGGACAAUGGGGGCAACCCUGAUCCAGCCAUGCCGCGUGAGUGAUGAAGGCCUUCGGGUUGUAAAGCUCUUUUGGCGGGGACGAUGAUGACGGUACCCGCAGAAUAAGCCCCGGCUAACUUCGUGCCAGCAGCCGCGGUAACAC